rnacentral:rRNA from 1 species
AGAGUUUGAUCAUGGCUCAGGAUGAACGCUAGCGGGAGGCCUAACACAUGCAAGCCGAGCGGUAGAGAUUCUUCGGAAUCUUGAGAGCGGCGUACGGGUGCGGAACACGUGUGCAACCUACCUUUAUCAGGGGGAUAGCCUUUCGAAAGGAAGAUUAAUACCCCAUAAUAUAUUGAAUGGCAUCAUUUAAUAUUGAAAACUCCGGUGGAUAGAGAUGGGCACGCGCAAGAUUAGAUAGUUGGUAGGGUAACGGCCUACCAAGUCAAUGAUCUUUAGGGGGCCUGAGAGGGUGAUCCCCCACACUGGUACUGAGACACGGACCAGACUCCUACGGGAGGCAGCAGUGAGGAAUAUUGGACAAUGGGUGAGAGCCUGAUCCAGCCAUCCCGCGUGAAGGACGACGGCCCUAUGGGUUGUAAACUUCUUUUGUAUAGGGAUAAACCUACUCUCGUGAGAGUAGCUGAAGGUACUAUACGAAUAAGCACCGGCUAACUCCGUGCCAGCAGCCGCGGUAAUACGGAGGGUGCAAGCGUUAUCCGGAUUUAUUGGGUUUAAAGGGUCCGUAGGCGGAUCUGUAAGUCAGUGGUGAAAUCUCAUAGCUUAACUAUGAAACUGCCAUUGAUACUGCAGGUCUUGAGUAAAGUAGAAGUGGCUGGAAUAAGUAGUGUAGCGGUGAAAUGCAUAGAUAUUACUUAGAACACCAAUUGCGAAGGCAGGUCACUAUGUUUUAACUGACGCUGAUGGACGAAAGCGUGGGGAGCGAACAGGAUUAGAUACCCUGGUAGUCCACGCCGUAAACGAUGCUAACUCGUUUUUGGGUUUUCGGAUUCAGAGACUAAGCGAAAGUGAUAAGUUAGCCACCUGGGGAGUACGUUCGCAAGAAUGAAACUCAAAGAAAUGACGAAGGC